AAAGAGGAAUCCUGAGGGACAUCUUACAUGUGCCAGUGGGAAUCCAAGGGCUUCAGGUUGUCAGCUUUUUUGUCACUAAUGUAGAUCUGCGCAGAGUGGUAUGUGUGAGUCUGGUGUGGAGAUGUCCUGUGGAUCUGAGAACCAGCCGAGACAUUCAGAAAGGGCUCUGAGGUUUCUGCCUGGCUGCUGGGGACUGUGUUUGCAGGACUCCACACAGGAGAUCACGCAGGACCUUGUUCAUGGAGUCCCCUGCUCCAUCUGCUCGUAAGAGUGGCAGCGGUCCCAAGACACCAACAGAACCCAGGACGGGCUCAGGGGGGAAGAUGUGUCAACAGGGAGCAGGAAUGAGGACUGCAUGGUGUGGAGCAUCCAGAGAGACAGACUGGAGAUGCUUGUGGCAAACCUGGUGCCUGCUGCCCUGGGAAGCAACCCCUCCUUCCUACACACAUUCCUGGGCACCUAUAGAGCUUUGGCCACUGCCUAGAAGGUGCUAAACCUUCUAUUCCAAAGAGCUACAGCAGCAGCUCAGAGCAAGCUCUGGAAGCACCUGGAGACCUAAAGCCUGCUGCACGUCUCCUGCCCAGGACAGCUCCAGAGCCAGAGCCUGCUCCUGCCCCAGCUCUCAUUUAAGUUCAAAGCCAGGAAAAGCACCUGCACAGGCUCCAAUUCUAGAGGAGGUUCAGGCAACAGCUAUCCUCCAUCUCAGAGCCCGAAACAUCAGGAAAAGCUGCUCGAGCACUUCCUCUACCACCUCAGCCAGCUGCCUGCCCGGCCUCACAUCCAGAGCCUCAGCCAACCUCAGCAAGAGCUCCCCCACCGGCCCUGGGGCGCCAUUGUGCUUUGGCCCAGCUGUGACCCCACAGGGUUAUCCAGUUCUAGAUCAGAGACCACAACACACCCAGUUCUCCUGGUUACUCAGGUGCUAGAGCCAGGUCCUCCCCGGAUACACCUAGAGCUGCUACCCGAUCAGCAAGGAGCUCCAGCACGCGCAGUGCCUUCAGGGCCGGGGGCUGAGCUGCCCCGGGUGCCAGCAGCAGCACUGGAGACGUCCUUCCCCUUCCCUGUAAUUCCUUAUUUAAAAAAAAUAAAUUUGUUCU